GAUGAAGAACGUAGUGAAAUGCGAUACUUGGUGUGAAUUGCAGAAUCCCGUGAGCCAUCGAGUCUUUGAACGCAAGUUGCGCCCGAAGCCAUUAGGCCGAGGGCACGCCUGCCUGGGCGUCACACGUCGUUGCCCCCCCCAUCUACUCCUUCGGGAUUGCGGGGGGCGGAUGAUGGCCUCCCGUGCGCCUCGCCGCGCGGUUGGCAUAAAUGCCAAGUCCUCGGCGACGCACGCCACGACAAUCGGUGGUUGCGAAACCUCGGUUGCCCGUCGUGUGCGGUCGUCGCGCAUCGAGGGCUCGAAAAAAUUGCCGAGUUCCGGCUCGGCUUUCAACGCGACCCCAGGUCAGGCGGGGUUACCCGCUGAAUUUAAGCAUAUCAAUAAGCGGAGGA
rnacentral:misc_RNA from 1 species